rnacentral:misc_RNA from 1 species
GUGAAUCAUCGAAUCUUUGAACGCAAAUUGCACUUUCUUGUAUUCCGGAAAGUGUGUCUGGGUGAGGUUCAAUUAAAUAUAAAUCGGGGUUGUUGCUGCCUUUCUUGGUGACGCUUCGGAUUUGAUUCAUCUUACCUUCGGUUAAGUGACUUAAAAUGUUUGCAUGAUUUACUAAGGUAUUUGAAUCGUUUACGUACGGGUUAUCUAU